AAACCCAAUUUGAAUUCUUGCCUGGCAUAUGUAAGGCCCUGGGUUUGAUCCGCCUAGUACCCCCUACACACACAUUCACACACACAUACACACACAUACACACACAUACACACACACAUACACACAUACACACACAUAUACACACACAUACACACAUACACACACAUAUACACAUACACACACAUACACACACAUAUACACAUACACACACACAUACAUACACACACACACAAAUAAAAUCAUUUUGAG
rnacentral:lncRNA from 1 species